GGGUUGUGAGGUUAAGCGACUAAGCGUACACGGUGGAUGCCCUGGCAGUCAGAGGCGAUGAAGGACGUGCUAAUCUGCGAUAAGCGCCGGUAAGGUGAUAUGAACCGUUAUAACCGGCGAUUUCCGAAUGGGGAAACCCAGUGUGAUUCGUCACACUAUCAUUAACUGAAUCCAUAGGUUAAUGAGGCGAACCGGGGGAACUGAAACAUCUAAGUACCCCGAGGAAAAGAAAUCAACCGAGAUUCCCCCAGUAGCGGCGAGCGAACGGGGAGGAGCCCAGAGCCUGAAUCAGCAUGUGUGUUAGUGGAAGCGUCUGGAAAGGCGCGCGAUACAGGGUGACAGCCCCGUACACAAAAAUGCACAUGCUGUGAGCUCGAUGAGUAGGGCGGGACACGUGGUAUCCUGUCUGAAUAUGGGGGGACCAUCCUCCAAGGCUAAAUACUCCUGACUGACCGAUAGUGAACCAGUACCGUGAGGGAAAGGCGAAAAGAACCCCGGCGAGGGGAGUGAAAAAGAACCUGAAACCGUGUACGUACAAGCAGUGGGAGCACAGGUUUACCUGUGUGACUGCGUACCUUUUGUAUAAUGGGUCAGCGACUUAUAUUCUGUAGCAAGGUUAACCGAAUAGGGGAGCCGGAGGGAAACCGAGUCUUAAC
rnacentral:rRNA from 3 species